AUGGCCCCGGCGGAGACCCAGACGCUGCGGGAACAGCCGGAGAUGGAAGAUGCUGAUAAUUCUGAAAAGAGUAUACAUGAAGAAAAUGGAGAAGUAUCAGAAGACCAAUCUCAAAAUAAGAACAAAAUAAGUAAAAAAAGUAUAAACAGAAGUAAACAUAAGAAACAUAAACAUUUCUCAGAAGACAAGGAUAAAAAACAUAAACAUAAGCAUAAAUGCAAGAAACAUAAAAGAAAAGAGGUUACGGAUGCUUCUGAUAAAGAGGGUAUGUCUCCAGCAAAAAGAACUAAACUUGAUGAUUUAGCUUUGCUAGAAGACUUGGAAAAACAGAGAGCCUUGAUUAAGGCUGAACUUGAUAGUGAGUUAAUGGAAGGAAAGGUCCAAUCUGGUAUGGGGUUCAUUUUACAAGAUUAUGAGUCUGGCUCUGAAGAAGAGGGGGAGAUUCAUGAAAGGCAAGAAAUGGAAAUAGAUCUAGUACUAGAUCUUCAAGUACAAAGGGGAAACUUGAAUUGUGGACAAUAAAAGUACUACAAAAAACGAAGUAAAAGCAGAUCCAAAGAACGGAGUAGAUGUAGGUCUGAUAAGAAGAAAAGUAAGGGGGGUAUUGAAAUAGUUAAACAGAAAACAACUAGGAGCAAGUCAAAGGAGAGGAAAAAGUCUAAAAGCCAAUCAAAAGAAGGAAGUCUCAAAAUCAAGCAAGAGAAUUAAAAUCCCCUACCCUUAGAAGGUGAUCUUAAGAGAAAAUUGGUAAGGCCAGAUCUCCUGCUGAUGAUAAGGUUAAAACUGAAGAUAAGAGUAAAUAAAAAAACAAGACAAAUCCCCAAUUGUAAAUGAAAGUAGAAGUCACGAUCAAGGUAAAAAAUCGAGAUCCCCAGUUGAUUUAAGAGGUAAAUCCAAAGACAGAAGGUCACAGUCCAGAAAGAGAAAAUGAAAACAGUCUGAAGCUGAUAAAGAAAAGAACCCAAUUAAAAAAAAAUACUUCAUCUGAGAAAGAAAAUAGAUCACCCAGUAGAAGACCUAGUUGUAGUCCUAAAAGAAGUUUGUCUCCAAAACCACGUGAUAAAUCAAGAAGAAGUAGGUCUCCACUUUUAAAUGAUAGAAGAUCUAAGCAGAGCAAACCUCCCUCUUGAACACUGUCUCCUGGUGGAACAGCUGAGCCGAUCCUAAGAAGGAAAAUGAAGAGAACCAGAGAGAGGACAACUUUCUUCUUCAAGAACACGACCUUGAGAUGAUAUCCUCAAUAGACAUGAAAGAUCAAAAGAUGCCAGCCCCAUCAAUAGGUGGUCUCCAAUUCGAAGAAGAAGUAGAUCUCCCAUUAAAAGGAGGUCUCAUUCCCCACUCAGACGUAGCACAAAAAGUCGGGUCUCCAAGAAGAAGAUGCAGGUCUCCUUGGAAAAGGGACAGAGGUUGGAGGAGCAGAUCAUGCUUGAAAAGGUGGUCUCAGUCAUGGGGUGGUCGUAGAUGAAGGAGCAGAAGCAAAGUAAAGGAAGAUAAAUUUAAAGGAAGUGUUUCUGAAGAAAUGAAAGUCGAACAGAAAUAUUUGUCUGAUGAUAACCUUGAAGAUUUUGAUGUGGAGGAAGAAGAUGAAGAAGCUCUAAUAGAACAGAGAAGAAUCCAAAGGCAGGCAAUUGUUCAGAAAUAUAAAUAUCUUGCUGAAGAUAGCAAUAUGUCCGUGUCAUCUGAACCAAGCAUCCCCCAGAGCAGUACGAAAACGUGAUCACCUAUCCUUCUGGAGCGAGCAGCUGCUGUUGUUAAAGAGUAUGAAUGGGAAAAUGUUGAUACAUUUGAGGCCUCAGUGAAAGCCAAGCAUAAUCUAAUGACAGUUGAACAGAAUAAUGGUUCAUCUCAGAAGAAGUUGUUAGUACUUGAUAUGUUUUACAGAAUCUGAUGAUAUGUUUGCUGACGAUUUUGAUAGUGCUUGUCUCUGGGCUGCUGGCAAUGGAUAAGAUUCAAAGAGAAUCCCAACCUCAGAGAUAACUGGACUGAUUCAGAAGGCUAUUAUCAUGUGAACAUAGGUGAAGUCCUAGAUAAAUGUUACAAUGUAUAUGGCUACACUGGGCAAGGUAUAUUCAGUAAUGUUUUAUGAGCCAGAGAUAAUGCAAGAGCCAGCCAAGAAGUGGCUGUCAAGGUCAUCAGAAACAAUGAGCUCAUGCAAAAGACUGGUUUAAAAGAACUAGAGUUCUUGAAAGAAUUUGAUGCCGAUCCUGAUGACAAACUUCAUUGUCUGCGACUCUUCAGGUGCUUCUAUCACAAACAUCUCUGUCUCAUAUUCGAGCCUCUCAGUAUGAACUUACAAAAGGUGUUAAAAAAUAUGAUAAAGAUACUGGUUUUCAUAUUAAAGCUGUAAGAUACCAUAGUCAGCAGUUUUUCCUGGCAUUGAAAUUCCUCAAAAUAUGCGAUAUCCUACAUGUAGACAACAAGCCAGACAAUAUCCUGGUUAAUCAUCAGAAACUAUUUUAAAGUUUGUGAUCUGGGGUUGGCUUCACAUGUUGCGGAUAAUGACGUUAUACCUUAUCUUGUCAGUAGAUUUUAUCGUGCUGUUGAAAUCAUUAUAGGUAAAAACUGUGACUAUGGUAUACAUAUGUGGUCAGUAGGUUGUACCUUAUAUGGACUCUAUACUGGAAAAAUUUUAUUUCCUGGCAAAACUAAUAAUCGUAUAUUGAAGCUUGUGAUGAAUCUCAAAGGAAAGUUGCCAAAUACGAUGAUUCAAAAGGUGCAUUCAAAGAUCAGCAUUUUGAUCAAAAUCUCAACUUCAUGUACAUAGAAGUUGAUAAAGUAACAGACAGGGAGAAAGUUAUUGUUAUGAGCACCAUUAAUCCAACUAAGGACCUAUUGGCUGACUUGAUUGGGUGCCAGACACUUCCUGAAGACUGAUGUAAAAAAGUAUACCAGCUAAAGGACUUGUUGGACCAGAUUCUAAUGUUGGGCCUAGCUAAAUGAAUUAGCAUCAACCAGGCCCUACAGCAUGCCUUCAUCCAGGACAAAAUUUAAGCAAGAUGAAGAAAC